AACGAACGCUGGCGGCGUGGAUAAGACAUGCAAGUCGGACGAGAUUUUCCGUUGUAGCAAUAUGAUGGAAAGUCUAGUGGCGAACGGGUGCUUAACACGUGGGCAACCUGCCGAGAAGUGGGGGAUAGCUCGCCGAAAGGCGAAUUAAUACCGCAUGUGAUCAGAGAGGACAUCCUUUCGAAAUUAAAGGUGGCGCAAGCUACCGCUUCUUGUGGGGCCCGCGGCCUAUCAGCGAGUUGGUGGGGUAACGGCUCACCAAGGCUUUGACGGGUAGCUGGUCUGAGAGGACGACCAGCCACACUGGGACUGAGACACGGCCCAGACACCUACGGGUGGCAGCAGUCGAGAAUUUUUCUCAAUGGGGGAAACCCUGAAGGAGCGACGCCGCGUGGAGGAUGAAGGUCUUCGGAUUGUAAACUCCUGUCAUUGGGGGACAAUGCGUAAAUAUUAACUGUAUUUGCGUUGAUAGUACCCGAAGAGGAAGAGACGGCUAACUCUGUGCCAGCCGCCGCCGUAAAAC
rnacentral:rRNA from 1 species